GCCAGUGUGGUGUAGUAGCUUGAGUGCUGGACUAUGAUUCUGGAGACCAGGGUUCGAAUCCUGGCUUGGCCA